rnacentral:lncRNA from 1 species
UCUGCCCUGGGGUCUCCUCAACAAAUUCUGUAGCUCCAUUGGUGUUCGCCAUCCAUGAUUCGGCGCGGCCGUUCAGCGUUGGGCAGUGAUUAUUGUUGGAUUUGUCGCGACCAGACCCGUCGAUAGUGACGAGUUGGUGAGGCUAAGGCGGUGGUGGGGGUGUUGCAGCUUUCGUGGUGCUGGCGGCAGUGGCGAGUUGGUGAGGCCGAGGUGGCGGCAGUGGUGUUCCGGCUUUCGUGAUGUUGGCGGAGGUGUCAAGACGGCUAGGGUUUGGUGGUAGUGAUUGCGGGAUCAUGGUGGU